UGUGGGUCUGACACACAUUGGGUGUGUGUGUGCGGGACAUUGGCAGCAGAUCUCUGGAAGGGGUCUUAGAGGUCCAGACACCUGGCUUCUCAGAGAGGAAGGGAAUCAAGGGAAGCCAACAGGGCUCAGAAACUGGAGCCCAGCAGCCCCCGUCCUUCCCUGCGAUCCUGCUCAGAGCCUCAGCUACCUCUGCAAUCCCUACCCCUGCAAUCUCCACCUGCCAUCCCUGCACUGGGAUGGGGCAGGAACGAGGACACAGCUCCCAACAUCCCAUUAUUGCCCUAUUGUGGGUAGCAGAGCAAGAGUGGGUGUUGGGGGACAUGGGGGCUGCUUGGAACUGCCCUCCCCGCCUAAGCUUAUCAAGCCCUGUAAUGUGUCAAGCACUGUAGUUUGCAUGUAUUAGCUCAUCCACCUUUACAACAGCUCUGGGAGGUAGGUCCCCUUACUAUCAUCAUUCCCAUUUGACAGAUAAGGUAAUUGAAGAUUCAAGAGGUGCACUGAUCUGUUCAGAGUCACACAGCUAGUGAGGAGUCAGGUGAUAUCCAUGUGGCCUUGGACGGGUCAUUUAAUCUCUCUGAGGCCCAAACAGGAAUAAGAGUACCUGCCUCAGGCUCCAGGAAGGACUGGGAGAAGGCACGCUCGGUCCGUAUUUCCGCAGCCCGCCCCGACGCCUCUCCCUGACCACCCCCCGCCAGCGGCGCCCACCUGCACACGGUGAUCAGGUUCCUACGCUCCACGGCCACAUUGCGGGAAGACGCUUUCUUGGAGGACAGCCCCAGAGCCAUGGUGGUCUGGACAAAGCUCGCUUCCAUCCAGAUGUGCGGCCACUGCUGCCGCCACCAGCUGCCCCCCACCCCGCCUGGAGCCCCGGCCCCCUCCCCCGCCGGAUCACGGCUGGGCCCUCUGCCCGCCGGGGCCCCUCGAUCCCUGCUCGGUCAUCCCCCUGCCGCUGCUCCCGGUGCCCGGCCCCCUGGCACCCUCCCCCGGCGGCGAUUCCAGAGCAAAACAAGGCCGGAGGGAGCUCUCCGAGGUGCUGAGCCGGGCCCGUCUCCCCCCUCCCUUAGACGCCCGCCCCCCUCGGCUGGUGACGUCAGGGCCCUCGGGCCCCGCCCCUGGCAGGCCGGGCACCAAUCCGCAGAGGAUGCAGAAUUUGGGGGUGGGGGGUGGGGGAGAGGGCUGGGGCAGAAAGAGGGCGGAGGGGGUCCCCGGAAGAAGCAGCGAUUGGAAGGAGGAAGAGGGGGCAUCUGCCCUGUUGUCCAUUCCCACACUCAGGGCCCGGGACCCCUCGCCUCGCGUCUCUGAGUUCCAACGACUGAACUCCCUGGUUUCUGAGCUGUGAUCGGUGGUGUCUCAGUUUUCCUCCUGCUGCCGGGGAAAGGAGGUCCUCACUUCCCAUACCUUCAUCGCAGCCCCGUCCCCCACCCAAUCAGUAUCUGGGUUCUCAAGGAGGCCGGGAUCAGGUCUGCCCCCAGAGAGCGCAGGUGGCCCUACGCGGUAACCUAGGAGGCCAAGGAGCAGUCGGAGAGACUGUAUCUGGUGUUUGGCUUGUCAGCACCGGCCGGUGGAUUCAACGGCUCCUAGGGUGGGGGAUGGGAAUCCAGAAUAAGCCGUAGGAGCCUAGCGGCUUGAACCACUCAGGACUGUGAGACUAGACUGGCAGCUAAGGGCCAAGGCACUGCUCUCGCUCUCUCUCUCUCUCUCUCUCUCUCUCUCUCUCUCUCUCUGAGUCCUACUACACCCACACACCAUCCCAGGGCAACUGGCUUGAGGGUUAACCCCCUGGCUAUCAGCAUUGCUGCAUGGUGCCAUCAACUCACUCUGCAAGGCUAAGAGAGCCCCCAAAGCUGAUCACAUCUUUUAGGGUAAAGUGAAAGAAAUGGAUGCAUUGCCUGGCUUUCCUGUCACCCUCUGCCUCCCAGUUGUUCUCUCAUCCCUGCUUGCACCUGCUCCAUUCCUCUACUCAACCUGUUCUCUUUCACACUCCGAAAUCUCCAGCUCCCACAGAAAUCCUUCUGUGUUAAGGUGGGGUACACCCAAUUUUCCCAUUUGGCUUUAGGAAUGUCCAUCCUAGGGCUCAGCUUAUGUGUAUUCACCAACUCUGUCCACCUCCUGGAUUUACUCCACUUUACUAGUGUAUGGUCAUAUGUCCCCACAUGGAUUCACAUGUGCACCAACAUCUGAAUAUGAUCAGCAGGCAGGGACCCUCUGUUAGCACAAACAGAGGAGGAAGAGAUUUAAAAAAAAAAAAAAAAAAAGGCCUAUGCAAGCUCACAACCCCGGUCUCACUCCCUGGGCACUCCCAGUAAAGAUCUCAUGUCUACUCAACCUCAGCCUCAAUUCUUGGCUUCCAGGACCUCAGACUUGGUCUUUUCUGUUUCUUCUUUGCCGUUUCCCUCUUCCCUCACUUCUAGAAGGCCCUUUUAUCAUCCUCCUGCCUCCAGCUAGAUAGCCAAUGCCAAUCAUGAUAUUCUUUUGUUUUUCAGUUGCAGGGUAUGUCGUGUGAACAAAAGAGCAUGUAAAACACAUAGGUGCAGUUUAAAGAAUAUUUACAAAACAAACACCUGUGUCAUUUCCUUAAAGAUCAAGAAAUAGAAAGUUGUCAAGAACCCAGGACUUCCCAAACACACCCAGAUCUUCUCUUCAUCCAUCCCCCCAAGGGACAACCACUAUCCUGACUUUUGUCAUAAUCAUUUCCUUGCUUUUCUUUAUAGUUUUAUCACCUAUAUGUCGAUCAAUAAAUAUAUAGUUUAAUGUUUCUUUAUUAAAAGAAAAUUUGUUAUUUGUC